AUGAUGAAAUAUGCAAAAAAUAUGAGGGAGGAAGGGAAAAGGUCAACCCCAGAUCUAGGGUUCGUCCGGCGCGUGAACCGAGGCGGCGGCGGAUCUUGCCAGAGUUGA
rnacentral:rRNA from 1 species